UCGAAUCCCGCAACGAGCAGACCGCGCACACGUACAUGCUGCAUGGGGGGGCCCGACGGGAGUACGCGCGUGCGCCUCCCGCCGGUUGCCCUGCACCCGCCCCGACCCUCGCGCGAGCGAGUGCGACAGGCGGGGCCAACAACCAACCCACGGCGCAGAAAGGCGCCAAGGAUCACAAACGCGGAGUGCUGCCCCCGUCCUGCACCCGUUCGCGGUGUGCCGCUCGGGGGACGUGCGUCUCCCAAGAUUGAAUACGGAAAAAAU
rnacentral:misc_RNA from 1 species